GGGGAACGGGUGAGUAACACGUGAGCAACCUACCUUACACAGGGGGAUAGCCGUUGGAAACGACGAUUAAUACCGCAUGAGACCACAGAAUCGCAUGAUAUAGGGGUCAAAGAUUUAUCGGUGUAAGAAGGGCUCGCGUCUGAUUAGCUAGUUGGAAGGGUAAAGGCCUACCAAGGCGACGAUCAGUAGCCGGUCUGAGAGGAUGAACGGCCACAUUGGAACUGAGACACGGUCCAAACUCCUACGGGAGGCAGCAGUGGGGAAUAUUGCACAAUGGGGGGAACCCUGAUGCAGCGACGCCGCGUGAGCGAAGAAGGUUUUCGAAUCGUAAAGCUCUGUCCUAUGAGAAGAUAAUGACGGUAUCAUAGGAGGAAGCCCCGGCUAAAUACGUGCCAGCAGCCGCGGUAAUACGUAUGGGGCGAGCGUUGUCCGGAAUUAUUGGGCGUAAAGGGUACGUAGGCGGUUUUUUAAGUCAGGUGUGAAAGCGUGAGGCUUAACCUCAUUAAGCACUUGAAACUGGAAGACUUGAGUGAAGGAGAGGAAAGUGGAAUUCCUAGUGUAGCGGUGAAAUGCGU
rnacentral:rRNA from 1 species